CUAACUUUUGACUUGACCUCUAGUUUCACAUCACCAACUGCCUAUUGGACAUCUUGAACUGAAUAUCUGAUACAUAUCUUCUAUUCAACCCGUGCAAAAAAACCCUAAUCAUCUUUCUCCCAAAACCUUCCUCUCUUCCUAAAAUCCUUAUCAUUGUCUAAGGUACCAUUCCUCCCAGUCACCCAGGAUUAUCACCCUCAAUUUUUUAUAUGUACUCACCACUACAUCAAUUUGUUGCUUUCUUGUGGUUUGUACCUUAAUGAUAUCUUUUGUUUAUAUACCCCCUUCUUUCUUCUGAUAGUGCUGCUGUCUACUUCAAGUCCUCAUUACCUCACUGCUGGACUAUUGCAGUAGUCUGAUGGUUGGUCUUUUUGCUUUAACUCUCUCUCCACUCUAAUCCAACCACUCAGUUGCUAAAGUCAUCUUCCUAAAGAGUAGUUCUGACCAUGUUAUUUUUUUACUUAAAAAAUCAAUGACUUCCUUUCCCUUCAAAGUCAAAUAUAAAAUGCUGUUUGGUCUUUACAGACCUACAAAACUAAAACCCUUCUUCCCUUCCUGAAGGAACAGGGGCUUCUAGUUUGCAUAAAGAGGAGAGAUCUUGGCCAGGUUGAAAACAGAGUAGGUCAAAGCUUCUGAGGGAAUGUGAAUAGGACCAACCCCAAUGAAUAACACAUAUAUUUCCAGCCUUUGCUAAAUAGGGAGACUCAGUUUUUAAAAAACAAACAAACUGAAAAUCCAAACCAAAAUGUCUACGUGGUUAUACUAUAUGGCUAUGAAUGAAAAAACACCAUGAUCUUAGAAACACUAAAAUUUCCAAUAACUUAGAGGGCAAUGGAAAAAUGAAUGGUGCAGGCUACAGCAUAUUACAAGAAACGAUUCGUGGCAUUUAAGACAGUAGUAAGGGCAUGUAGAAUCUGACAACGGAGUGAGUUGGUUCUAUGGUGAAAAUGAGAAUGCACAAUUGAUAUGUACAGUUCCAUCAACCUAAAAGAACAAGAAGGCUUUUAGUAUGCUGGAUGGAUCCACUAUGAAGGAUUUAUGGAAAGAUGUGUUGAAAUUGUAACUUGUUAUGGUUUCCUCCUCUUACCCCACGGUAGUUAGUGGAGUAGGUAAGUAGCCAGUAAUACUAACAAUGAAUAGAAAUUAAAAUUGUAAAAGGGAAUGAAGGGGCCACUGCAAAAACUGAUUCCUAAAUUAAUUAAGACCACAUUCCAGAGACUAUUGCUAAAAGAGAAAACAGCUGAUAGUUUGGUCCCUAUUAAAUAAGAGGCCAUUAUAUUGAACUCUAGAUGGCUUCUCCUAAUAGUAGACCUUGCAGACCUAAGUCUAAAAGCUGAGAUAAGCUCCAGACAUGCACAAUAAAAUUAUUAUGCCUCUGAGGGAUGCCCAAACUGGCAGUGAUAACUUUGAGAUGAUAUUGAUAUACUGAUGAGCUAAACGCAAGAUAGAUUGGAUAAGUUGUGCUCUUGCCCUGCUCAUCAAAAUCCUAUAAGAAUGGGACCCCAAUGUCAUGCUUCUUGAGCACCUAUCUACCUACCAUGAAUCCCUCCUGCCCUAGUGCUCCCAAUUCUGAUCCAAAGUUAUAUAAAGAACUAUAUCUCUCCCAGUCUAUUUCCAGAAUCAUCUGCCUCCUCUAUCACUCUCCAGCUCCAUUCCCCACUGAGUAGUCUGCUUCUGUACUCUCUGUGUCUUAUUAAAAUAAAAUUGACACAUUACUUCCCACUUGCUGCCAGUGUGAACUUUUCUACUGAGUGUCCAAAGAACCAGGCUUGUUUGUCCUGUCCCAACUUGGGAUCUUUUUGCUGACCAUUUUCCCUUAUGCAUAAACUGGAGCACUAGGGUUAGGGGGAACUACACCUAGUGUGGAUAAGUUUGCUACUCUGAGUUCGUUGGUAGAGUACAAAGGUGAACAAAGAAAUCUGUACCUAACUCCUAAAGACCUCCCUACAUUGUUGGUUAUAAUAAAGUAAAAAUAUGAACAGUUAUCACACAGAAUAAGAAGUGUGUAUGAAGGAUUACAAAUUGAAUCCAAGUAAAGAGUACCAUCAUAGAAAAGUGAACAGAUUUGACAAAGAAUUCAAGUACCUUUUGUUUUGAAAAUGGUAGAGUGACUUGAAUGAGACCUGUCUUCAUGAAAAUGCUGUUAUUAUUAGGAUUUUGAAUGAUUAAAACUUCAAAAUAUUAUAAUUUGAGUUUGGAGUUAGUUGUUCCUUUUUCAAGUUAACUGUUCAGUAUUGGGUCCUAUUUAUUUUGUCUAUCCUUUUUUAGAGUUCAUAAGGUAUAACAGCAUAUAAUUUUUUAAAACUUUUCUCAAGCAUGGAUGUUUUGUUUUUCUUAUACUGUUGUAACUAAUUAAAAUGAACCUUUCACUAAAGGUGUGGUUUUAUAUUUGUAAAAGAUUAGAGAAUGGGGAGGGCAGCUAGGUAGGAGAGUGGCCUCAGACACUUACUAACUAUAGUGAUCCCAGGCAAAUCACUUAACCCCUUUUGUCUCAGUUUCUUCAUCUGUGAAAUAAGCCAGAGAAUUAAAUGGCAAACUACUCCAGUAUUUUAGCCAAGAAGCUCCCAAAUGGCGUCAAGAAGAGCCAGAUACAAAUGAGCAACAACGACAGAGAAUGGGAGUAAUACUGGGAGAUUUCUACUAGAAAUAAUAGAAUGAGAUGAGAUGAGAUGAGAACAAGUAUGCACAUAGAGAGAUUUAUUUUGGAAAGAAGUGACAUGUUUUCAUUCAAGAUAGAAAUGAAAGAGGAAGUAUUAGUGGUAAAUAUUUGAAUUAUGUAAGAACAUGUAAAAGGAAGAGAAAAGGUGCUCUCAGGGAAUGAUUUCUAUUUUUUUGAUGAAGUAUGAAGUGAAGUCCUUAGCUUAGAAGGUGAGGGAAGAGUAUGUUAUAAGAUGACUGUGGAAGGUGAAAAGAUUUGGAAUAGCUGCUGUGGUAAAUUGAAUAGUGAAUCAAUUAGAGAAGCAUAAAGGAUUGCCUUGCUACAGUGAGGGCUUGGUUGAGAUUAUUUAGCAUGAAUUUGUGGUGGACCCAGUCAGCAGUUUUGUGAUCUUCUCCAGUUCUGUUCAGCAGCAUGUGAAAAGGAGAGCAAGUGGUGAAUGAUGAGAGGAAUUAAAGUUGAAGUUUGGCAAGGUGUGAUUAGCAAUAGGACAGUGUGUAUAGUACAGAGGUUAUGGCCUGGGAAAGAACUGAGUGGAGGAGGUCACAGUAAGAAUGAAGAAAAGUAAGGAAAUGAUGAAACACGAACAGCUAAAUAAAAGAAUUUGAGCAUUCACAAAUAUGGAAGUAAUAUACUUGUGAGUGAUGGCGAGGUCCAACAUGUGACCAUCUCUGUGUGUAGCUGAGGAACUGUGUGGAUUGAGGAAAUGGGAAAUUAGGGUAUUUAAGUAUGAAUAGGAAUACACAUGGUUGAAGUGUAUUUAAUAUGUAUUCAUAGGAAAUGUUAAUAUGUAUAUUGAAAUUCUCUAGUAUGAGGACAGGAUUUGGGGACUCUGACAAGUCAAAUAAUUUUCUAAGCCUCAUUUUCCUUCUUGGUAAAAUGUAGAUUUUUAUAAUCAUAGUUAAAUAUAAUAUAACAUAUAAACAUUAUAGAAUAAUAAAAUAAUAGCUUCUUGUUUUUAUUAUUUAGCUAUCUUACUCUUUAUGACCUCCUUUGGGAUUUUUUUGGCAAAGGUUUUGAAGUGGUUUGCCAUUUCCUUUUUCAGAUCAUUUUACAGAUGAAACUAAAGCAAACAGGGAUAGGUGACUUGAUACUUGCCCAGGUACACAUAGUAAGUACCUGAGAUUAGAUUUGAAUUCAGGUCCUUCUGACUCCAAAACUGUAAUUCCAUCCACUUUGUCACCUUAAUAAUAGUUACAGUAUUAUAAAAUGAAAACUUUAUAAUAAUGAGAAUAUUUUAUAAUAGCUUCUACCUCAUAGGGUUGUUGUAAAUAUCAAGUUAGAUAACAUAUGUAAACAUACUUUGCAAAAUUUCAAACAUUAUAAAUGUCAGCUGCUAUCAUCAUCAUCACCAAAGAGUCCUGAUUCUUAUUACAUAGACAGAUAACAGGUAGUCUAAUAUCCUGGACCAUGGUUAGGAAUAGACAUUUCUCUUCUAUUUAAAAGUAAUUCUUAUCAAUGGGGGGAGCAUAGAGUCCCCAGUGAAGGGCUUGGCAAGUGAAGGAGAAUAAAGUAAGAAAAGAGUAACUGGUUCAGUGAAGAAUUCCUUUCAAUUUCUCUUUCUUUAGGUUGUUUUUUUGCUUGUGAUUUCAAUCACCAUGAGGAGGGAAUAUACUUCUGCCAUGCUGGUGACCUAUAGCAUAGCAUCCUAUACUAGUGAGUAAUUUGGGUUUGGACAAAAAGUUGUAUAUGCUAUGCUCUAUUAUUUUUUGGUCCUUAAAUGAAAAUAUUUAAAUUAAAGAGAUAUAUAAUGGUAUGAUUAUAAUGAGUUCCACUAUCCUCUGUGUUCUAGAAGAUGUGCAGUUCUGGACCUGGAAGGAAAGUCAAAGUUGAACUUGGGAAGAUAUACUUUGGGUUUUAGCUUCUCUUCUCUUCAUUUCCGUUCACUUCAAUCUAAUUCAAUUUGGUCUAACAGGAAUUUCUUCGGUAUCUACUAAGUGCUAGGCACCGUGCUAGGUAUAGGAAGUACAAAAACAAAAACUAGAAACUCCUUUUCCCCUAAGAAGUAUACAUUAUACUGGGGGAAAAAACCAUGUACAUAGGUAUUUACUUAGUACAAAGCUUAGAAAAGAUGGCAGGAAAAGUUGUAUGAAAGGAGAGCUGGCCUUAAAGAUGGGAAAUCCUGCAUUCAGAAUUUUGUCAGGCUGCCCUGCUCAAAUUAUUUCUCAGAGUUCUAGGUAACUUUGUAAGACAUCUAGUUUCAGAGAAAGUAUUUAUUUUCAUUGGUGAAGGAAUGCCCUUUAUUGAAUUACAGGUCUAGGUUUUUUUUUAAGGAAAUAAAAUUAUUUCCCAGUCCAAUUUCAAUCAUAAUAGUUUUUAUGCUUUGAUGUGAGGAAAGAAAGCUUACUCCUUCCUUUGCUCUAUUACUAGAGCUUGGCUAGGAUCUUAUGAUCCUUAUGAGACUCACUAAGAAUGUGAGGAGAUAAGUAGAAAUUGGGCAGACAGACUUUCCCACACAUUUUAUGAACUGGAAUAUGGCACUUAUUCUCACAAAUUUGAAUGUUUUCCUUUUAUGUCCUGGAAAUGAGAUCUUUAUCAGAACAGCUUGUGAUAAAAUAUUCCCCUCCUCCACUUAAUUCUUUUCUUAAAAUAUUAGCUUUAUUGAUUUGGUUUGUGCUCAAACUUUUGAAUUUGCAUACUUAAAAUUGUCUAUUUUAUCUACUGAAAUUCUCUUUAUUCUAUGUAUGGUCAUGAACAAUUCAUCUAUUCAUAAUCCAAGAGAUUAAAGAAUUCGUCAACACAGUUGGUGAAAUUCAUCUAUACUCUACAUAAAAAUUACAACAAUCUAGAUCUUGGGGACCUAUGCUUAUAAAUUUCUCAAGAUUCUGCAUUACUGCUAUAUCUUUGUUGCUUAUCUAGGAACAUCUAUCUAUGGCUCAGCCCCUACUUAGGUGGACCUACCUCUUUCUUUCCUAACAUAGCUAUGCUUAUUCACCUUUAUUUAAGGUCAUCCUUUAAACAUACAGUUCUAGAUUAUUAAACGUAUGGCAUUAUUAGAAGUAUUAAUCACAUAUAACAAAAACUGUAAUAUUCCAUUCAGUCCCUGGAUAUAGCCCCUCUCAAAGUAGAAAUUCCUUAUAAGUUUGGGAUCCUUUCCCCUUUAUUUUAUAGCAAUACAAAAAACUGCUAUCUCUAGCACAAAUCACUUCCCCAUUAUAGUCUCAGGGAGCUCUUCUGUGUUUCUGCCUCAAUUAGGAAUAGGGCAGAAAGAAUGUAAAACUUUCCCUCACAUUAAGUAACUAGUGGGUACUAUGUAACUUCAGAUAGUUACUAAUUGUAUGAUCCUGAGCAAGUCUUUUAAUCUCUAUCUCAGUUACUUCAAUUAUAAAGGAGAGUUCUGAGGUUGUUCUGAGGAUCAAUUAUAUCUGCAAAUUGCUUGGUAUAUACUGCCUGGCAUAUAGUAGAUGCUUAAUAAAUGCUUGUUCUCAUCCCUUAAGUUCAUAAGUGUCAUCUUAACACUUGGUCUUAGACCUGAAGCCCUAAUUUCCACACUGACUGGAGAGGUCCCAGAUGCUGUUCAGAGUCAGUUUGCUCAUCUCUAUGAUACUUAGAUCAAUAGCUGGAUUUGGCUGGCUGCUCCAGGAGGCUUCUCUAUCAUCUCUCAUUUCUUCAAAAGCAGAAGUUUAGAAGGAAAAAUCCACAUUUUUUGUGGCCUUUCUCAAAAACUCCCCCAUGAUGUGCUUCCAGCAACUAUCUAACACAAAUUAUUAUGGCAUUGAGGUAAGAAUAUGGUCCCUAUUAAGUGCCUUGUGGCUAGAAGUUUUUAUUGGAAACUACCUAAACUUCUCAGUGAACACAUGGUUUAUAUAGGUCUAUGACAUUUCAACAAUAUGCCUAUCAAGUGACAUGGUAACAAAAGGACAUGAAGUUUUCUGGUGUGACUCAUUCUAGAUUAAAAAAAAAACAAAAAAACAAUGUUGACUCCCAAUCACCAUUGUUUCCUUUUCUUGGUGGAUGGUAAAGAGGUAAAUCAAGGUUGGAGUUGUUGGGAAAAUAUCCUAUCAGAGUUUUUAGGAUGUGAAAUGGGAUAUCACAUUUGAGGCAGAAUGGUAUGGUAGAAAGAGCAUUGACUCUGGAGUCUGAGGACUUGAAUUCAAAUUCUUCUUUGGUCACUUAUGACUAGUGUAUCCUUGAACAAGUGACUUGAUCUUUCUGGGACUCAGUGUAUUCAUCUGAAAAAUGAAGGUAUUGGACAAGAUGGCUUUACAAGUCUUCCUCAACUGUAAAUCGGUGAUCCUAGAACUCCCUGGGAAUAGUAAAUUCCUUGUCACUGGAGACUGUCAAGCAAAAUGCAAACAAGAAAGAAUGCCAUUUUGUAAAUUAAUGGUUGAAUUUGGUUUAUAUUAUAGCUCUGAGAGUCCUUACAGUUCUGGAAUUCUAUAAAUGUCCACAAAUCAUUCUUUAAUAAUAUGUCUUAGAAUUUUGUGAGGAUUCAAAGUCACACUCAUAAACCUUUAUUUUGUAUUCUAUCCUUUUCUGAAAAUCAAGACAUUUGCUCAUCUCUAAUAAUAAUAGUAGGAAUACCUGAGUCUUAGAGAGAACUUUAAAGUUUGCCAAGCAAUUUACAGACAUUAUCUUAAUUGUUCUUCACAACCACUCUGGUAGGUAGGGUCAGCAUGGAUUAUUCUUCUGGGAUUUUAAUUGUCAUUCAGUGUUGUAUCAUUUGAAGAUUUGAUAAGUAUGCCAUCUGUGCCUUUAUCCAAGUUUUUAUUUUAUUUAAAAAAUUUAAUCAUAUUAUUUAAUUUAUAUUUAUAUUUAUAUCUACCUAGUAUUUAAAAUAUAAAACAACAUAGGGCCAAGUACAGGUCCCUGGGACACUCUACUAGACAUUCUUGCCCAAUCAUUAAUCAUUUGAACUGGGCCAUUCCAAUUUUUCUACCCUCUCUGUUUUUGUUUUUGUUUUUUUUUUUUUUGAGGGAGCUACCACUCUUCAAAUCACCCAGAUUCACAAAUCUCAGUCAUCUUCAUCUCUUUGCUCUUACUCCACCUUUCCCCAACUCCAAAGCUGAUCAACUGCCAAGUCUUAUCAAUUCUGCCUCUACAUCUCUUUGUCUUCUCCCACAUGUUCUCUAUGACUCUGUCUGUUCUGUCUCUCACUCUCUUCUCUCUCCCCUUUGCCUCUGUCUGUACAGACAUGUUAGUCUCAUUUUCUAUGUAUUUCUCUGUUUUUCUCUGUAUUUCUGUGUCUCUUCAUGUUUUGUUCUCUCUCACUUCUAGAAAGUCUUUGGGAAGUCUUUCUAUAACUUGAGUGCAUCACUCCUUUUACCUCUUACAAGAUUUCAAUUAUCUCCUUUCUGGGGAAAUGAAAGGAGAAACUCUUUUUAAACCAACUACCAGAAACCCUUCAGUUAGAGGCCGUUGGGACUUUCUAUCUGCUUGUGGAUAUUUUCUCCAGUGACCUUAGAGGAAAGGACUAUGCACUGAGAGGACUAGGAAAGACCUGAUGCAACAGGUGAUAUUUGAGCUAAAGCCUGUAGGAAAUCAGAUAUUCCAAGAAGCAAAGGUGAUGAAGGAAUGCAUUCUGGGCAAGGCAGACAGUCAAUGCAAAGUCACAGCAAUAUGGAGCAGAAGGAUGGAGUUAGGAUUUUAAGCGCCAAAUAAUGGAAAUUAAUGAGUAAGAGAAUGAGUCUAUCAGACUUUUGCUUUAGGAAAAUCACUUUGGUGGCCAUGUGGAGAAUGAAUUGGAGAAGGAGAUAUAAGCUAGUAAAUAUUGGAGAUGAAAUUCAAAUCUCACAAUUUCUGAUUUCCCGAUUACUACUCUAAUUGCCAUAUUGUAUCAUUCUUCACUUUGCCAUGCUUGAUGCAAGGUAGUUAGCAACAAAGCUGAGAUUUAAAAUCAGAUCUUUGGAUAUCAAAUCCAGAGAGCUUCCAUGUUUGCUUUUUCUAGAUUGCGUUGUCAUAUUCUUUUCAACCAUAAGGAAUUUGUGGUUUCCUUAUUCAGAGGAGCAGUGAUAUCAAAUCAGCACUUUUAGCCAAGGCUUAUUUAAAAUUGGGUCAACUUAAGCAAUCACCUUGAAGCAAGUAACUCUAAAAAGAGAUUUAAAAGUCACCCUCUGAGUCACUCAGGAAGAUUAAAAAGUUUGAUGUCCACUACAGGCUCAAGCUUAACUGCUUUGCUUUCUAGGAGAAAUACAUUGAGUGCAAAAAAAAUAUGAUUAGUAUGAAGUUAUAUUGGCAAUCCUAGGACUAGAUUCAUAGUGUCCACAUAAAAACUUGGCCACUUCACAAAAUCAGGGCAUGGGGGGGGGGGGAGACAGUUCUCAAUAAUGAGUAAAUGAUUCUCAAUGCUACCUUAGGCACUUAAUUUAAUAUUUUCACAUAACUGUUGUAAACUUUCUGCUUCUCUUAUGAAUUCUCUGAAUCACAUUUCCAGCGGGAAAAAAAAAUCUUGGUCUUUUCAGGAUAGCCUCUCAUCAUCUUAUUCACAAACUAGUAGAUCUUUGACCCCUUGUGUGGUUUAGAUAUGGGUAUCUGUAUCACUUCAGGCAUGACAUGGGAAAAGUAAUCUUUGUGCCUUGGAUUCUUUAUUUAAAGAGAUUGAAUCAGUUUGUAGCAACCCUUUGUUUCAAGAUUUGUUUCUUGUUUGUGGCUUGGAUGGAGGCCCAAUUUGUGAUACAAUAGUUCUGAUGAUGGCGAAAGCGAAUUGACUGCUUUGAGAGGAAGUGUGAUACAGUGGAAAGAGAUAUAAAAGUUAGAAGCUAUGUGUUAUCUUGGGCAAGUAGAACUCACCUGUUCUGAACCUCAAUUUCCCCAUUGGCUAAAUGGGGAUGAUGUUGUUCAGUUGUUUUCAAUCAUGUCUAACUUUUUGUGACCUCAUUUGGAGUUUUCUUAGCAAAGAUACUUGCAUGGCUUGCCAUUUCCUUCUUCAGCUCAUUUUACAGAUGAAACUGCAGGUUAAAUGACUUGCUCUGCAUCACACAGCUAAUAAGUUGUCUGAGGCCAGUUUUAAACUGGGAAAGAGUCUUUCUGAUUCCAAGCCCAGUGCUCUUUCCACUGAGCCACUUAAGCUGUCCUAAAGUGGGGAUAGCUGUGAAGUCUGGGUUAACUCCCUGUUGACCUCAGGAUCAGCUAGAGUCAGGAUCAGCAAAAGUCCUUGGUCUUUAGGGGGAGAAGUAAAGGAGAUGGACAAAACUGCCACAAGCUCUUCACCUACUGACCUCCCUUCUCCUCCUUCUCCUCCAAAGUGACUCUGGCUUAUCUUACUCCACCCCCUCGUAAGCACCAAAAGAUCAAGCCAGAACAGACUAGUGAGAAGGGCCAUUUUUUCUAAGCAUAUGCUAAUAGAGUUAUUGUCCAAUAGGUAAUUAGCCUUAAGUGCUCGGUUGUCUGAUUCCAGUGCAUCUAUUCAGAGUUUUAGCCCUUUAUAUCUCCUGCUUUCUUUUGUUUUAGAACACAGGUGGUCAUGCCAUUCCUGACUUCUCAGGAAGGGAGGUGAAAGCACUAAAAAGGAGGUGAUUGUGCCCUCCCUGACAUUGCAGGAAGGGAGAUGAAAAAUAUCAAAGGGAAGUGGGGAAUAUCAAGCCAGAUAUUGCUAGGUUUCUGGGCUGAAGGGUCUUACUAGAAACAGGUAUGCACAAACCCAUCAGCAUGGAAGGUAUUACAAAAGCACAUAGCAAUAACGCACAGGCUAUUAGUGAUGACUCUCCUCACAGCCAGUGCAGGCUCAAUGUGGUGUAACAAACACGAAUUGUACAUGCAAGUAGUGAUAUAAUAAACAAUAUAAAUCAACAUGGUGUUGUAAAAGAUUUCCAGAAGUCUUAGAAGGAGGAUAUGUAAAUAACAGUCACACAUGUGCCUUCUUCAGAAGCCAAGAGAUAGUCCAAAACUAAGCUACUGUCCAUUGCUUCAUGUGCCAGGGAAUCCAAUGACCUCCACAAGUUUUUGGAGUCCUGCAACAGUCUUUUUAUGUGUUAGGGAAUUCAAUGAUUCCUGCAGAUUUUGAAGUCCUGCAAUAGUCUUAUCAUUUCUCAGAAAACACCCAAUGAUUCCUGAGGGUUUUCAAGUCUUACACCAGUCUUAUCAUAUCUCAGAGAAUCCAGUGAUUCCUGAGGGUUUUGAAGUCCAAAAAUUUUUGAUGUCCAUGAGUCAAACACCAUAAUUGCCAUGCUGAAAUAUCUUGGGUCUUCUCCUUUGUUUCAAGGGUCUGCUCUGUCUCUCUCUGAUGGACAAGGUGAAUAUAGCUCAUUGACACCCAUCUGAUUCCUUCUCCAUCUGUAGAGAUACAAGCAAACCCUCUCCCCAAAGCAGUUAAUCUAUCUGGUCCCUUCCAUUCACCACUUUCUGGGUCUCUCCACAUCACCUGGUAAUUAUCUAAAGAUAGUGGAGCUGCUCACACUGGACACUGACCUUCCGGUGGGUUAUAAAACCUGUCUACUGGAGCCAGUGCAUCUUUGUCAAAAAUCAAGAGGUUAAUAGUAUAAAGAUCUAGAUUUAGAAGUUCCCUAGGGUUACCUGUGGCUCCCCCUUUCUUUUAUUUUUGGAGAAGAGUCUUAAUGUCUCUGUUUCUCCUCUCUACUAUUGCCUGUCCUUGAGGAUUAAAGGGUAUGCGAGUAAUGUGUAAAAUCUUAUACUGUGCACAAAAGUGUGCAAAAAUGUUUAGAAGUAUAUGCAGAUCCAUUAUCUGUUUUUAUUGCUUGUGGCACACCCAUAAUUGCAAAUGCUUGUAUAAGGAAUUCAGUGACCACUAAGGCUGUCUCUUUUGCUGCUGGUAUUGCAAAAGUGAAUCCUGUAAAGGUUUCUACCACAACAUGGAUAAAAGAUAGAUGACCAAAAGAUUUAUAAUAGGUAACAUCCAUUUGCCAAAUUUCAUUGGGUCUCAAACCACGAGGGUUCUUCCCUGGAGGGAGUGUAGGAGCAUGGAAAAAAAGGCAAGCCGUACAAGCUUUUACUAUGCUCCUAGCUUCCUCUCUUCUUGUUCCAAAUUGUAAACAUAAAGUUCAAGCAGCCUGAUGAUAUUUAGAAUGAGAUUCUUGGGCUUCCUGAAAUAAAGGAGUAUUGGCCAACAUAGUUAGAAGGCUAUCUUUUUUGAAUUGCCAUCAAAAAUAGGACCUGGAAGUCCACUAUGAGAGUGGACAUACAAGAUAUAGAUCUUACCUGGAUGCUGUCUCACUUGCUCUUGAAGUUCCCUAAAGAGCUGAUAUAUAUUAGAGGGUACAAAUUUUAUUUGGGCUGUGGCAACUCUUUGUAUCACACCUACUGAACAGGCCGAAUCAGAUAUUAUAUUUAUAUUUCCUGGAUAAUAAAUAAGAGCUAGAAUGAUUGCAUUCAAUUCAUUCUGCUGAAUGGACUGAAAAGGAGUUCUGACUACUCAUUUUAGAGUUGUCAUGAGAGUAUACAGCACAGAUAUUAUGUUUGGAUGCAUCUGUAAAGAUAGUUGGUCCUUUAAGAGGAACUUUAGAAACUUUUUCUUCAAGAAUCUAUGGCCAAUUAUGUAAUAGUCUGGUUAUCUUUAAUGGAGACCCAUGUGUAAGAUUUGGAGCCAUGGCUAAUAAAAUUCGCCACUCUGGGAUAGUCUCACAGCAUACAUUAAUUGGUGCAUUAGUAUAAAAGGUGUAUAGCUUGUCAGGUCUUAUCCCAGAUAAUUGUACUACUCACUUAAUGGCCUUUAAUAAAAUUUUAGCCACAAGCACUGCGUAAGGAGUAAGGCUUUGUUCUGGUUGUGCUGGGAGGUUCACCUAUCACACUGUCUCCUUGCUGUGGGUGCCUCUUGUGUAGCAAAAAACUGAUAUUUCCAAGGGUUUUUGAGUGACUUUUUCAACCACAUUGGAUAAAGCUAGUUCAACUUUUCUCAAAGCCUCUGAGCUUCUUUUGUAAGCUGACAAAAGUAUAAAGCACUGUCUAGUUGACUCUGCUUGGUUCCAAGAGCUCUUGCAGCUUGUCCUUUGCCUCUGCCUCUACUUUCUUCAGCUUCCAACCAGCACAAAGGUGGAAGAUGGAAUGAAUCUGACUUCGCCUCCAAGAGCAGGCUUGUGGGCUUCUGUAUCUCCCAGAGUGUUCUUUGGCUCUGAUUGCUUCUUGCUUAUAUGCUGUUCACUGAGUACAUGCCAAUCAUUAUAUCACUGGGAAACCAUUAUUAUUUGUAUGAUUAAAUCAAUGCUAAACUAGAUUUAAACAAUGUCUCCUCAAUUCCACUUAGUACCUUGUUUCAAGUUCUGACCCAUAACAUCUCCUUGUAGGAUCAGAUCAAUCAUAUUAAACCAUGCUAAAUUAGAUAAUUAUUGUCUCUAUCAAUUCUAAUGAGUUAACACUUUGUAAGGAUUCCAACAGUGGUAUAUGAAUGUUAUGGAAUAUUAUUGUUCUGUAAGAAAUGACCAGCAGGAUGAUUUCAGAAAGGCCUGGAGAGACUUACAUGAACUGAUGCUGAGUGAAAUGAGCAGGACCAGGAGAUCAUUAUAUACUUCAACAACAAUACUAUAUGAUGAUCAGUUUUGAUGGACCUGGCUAUCUUCAGCAAUGAGAUGAACCAAAUCGAUUCCAAUAGAGCAGUGAUGAACUGAAUCAGCUACAACCAGCGAAAGAAGAUGCUAUGGGAGAUGACUAUGAACCACUACAUAGAAUUUCCAAUCCCUAUAUUUUUGUCCACCUGCAUUUUUGAUUUCCUUCACAGGCUAAUUGUACACUAUUUCAAAGUCUGAUUCUUUUUGUACAGCAAAAUAACUGUUUGGAUAUGUAUACAUAUAUUGUAUUUAACUUAUACUUUAACAUAUUUAACAUGUAUUGGUCAACCUGCCAUCUGGGAGUAAGGAGGGAAAAAAUUGGAAUAAAAGGAUUUGCAAUUGUCAAUGCUGAAAAAUUACCCAUGCAUAUAUCUUGUAAAUAAAAAGCUAUAAUAAAAAUUUUUUAAAAAAGAAUCAGAUUGUCUUCCUUGUGGUAUUCUAAGGCUUUUGUCCAGGAAGAAUUGGGACCAAGCUGUGCAUUCACAUGGGGAAAGUACUGCUAUCCUAGUGUCACCUGUAGAUUUUUUUUUUUGUUUUAUUUUCAUCCAGGUUUAAUUAGCAUAGUGUUUAUGUAGAGGGCUGGAACUAUGUACUGAGGUCGGGACUGCUGAGCACUUGAGGCUAACUAUCGAUUGGACAAUACUCUAUGGGCAUAUGCUUGGAAAAUGGUCCUUUCCACUAUCGGUAUUGGCUCAAUGAUUGGUAUAUAGAGGAUUGUAAGAGGGACUGGGGGUGGAGAAAAGCUAGCCGGGGACACACUCUUGGCAGUGCCGAGGGAGAAGGCAGUUGUGGAGAAUCUACUUCCAUCCUGUUCAAUCCUGAGUCUGGGGACCAAGAAUAAAGAUUGAGGACUUUUGCUUAUCCUGACUUCGGCUGACUCUGGGGUGUCCUGGGUACUAGGGCAGUCGUUACAUGUUUCUAUUGAUUUGUAGGAAAAAACUGAGAAAUAUUUAAGAUAUCCUUGAAGUUCCUGGGUACCUAAAUUGUAGCCCUUUAGGGAAGAGCUAGGGUGGGACCUAGGUCACCAUAUCUAAUUAUGAUCUCCUGCAACUCAAGACACUGAGAGUAUGCCCAAAGGUUAGACAUAUAUUUCUCUAUAAAGUCUAAUUUUUAAAAACUAAUUGACAUUAUUUGUUUGUACAGUGCCUAGGCCAAGAGAGUGAUUAGUCACUGUAUUCUGCUCUUGAUGAGACCACAUCUGGAGCACUGGGUUCAUUCUUGGAACCACAUUUUGGGAGAGGCUUUUCUAAGUUGGACUACAUCCAGCAGAGGACAAUCAGAGUUGGGAAAGAACUUGAAACCAUGCCAAAAGUUCACACCGCAACUCUAGACCAAGAAUCAGUUGGAGCCACUGGGAACAUUUUGUUUGGAGAAAAGAAUGGUAAAGGAUGAGAUUGCUGUUUGUUGAAGGUGUCAUGUAAUUCUACAGCACAGAAUUAGAUCUCCAAGUUACAGCAAAACAGAUUUCUAUUCAACACAAGGAUAAAUUAAAAACAAACACACAAUUGUUUAAAUUAUAAGCUAUAUAACAAUAUAACAAUGCAAUAGGUUGAUUUCUACUGCUAGAUAACCUGGAUGGCCAUUCCAUUGGGAUUUUAUAAAAGGGACACCUACAGUGAGUAAGAGACUGAAAUUAGAUGGCUUUUAAGUCCAUGUUAAUCUUUCAAAGUCUCUGCUAAUCUAUUCCUCCCAACUCUGGAUCUUAUAUAUGGUCAAUGCAUGCAUCAAAAAUUAUGGAGUUGCAAUCAGAUGAGAAAGCUUUAAAAGCUGAUCUUUGAGUUAGAAAGGCUGAGUUUGAGCCCCAUUUCUGUUACUACCUGUGUGAAAGUCACUUUCUCUUAUCAGGCCUCAUUUUCUCAUCUACAAAAUGGGGAUUAUAAUUCUUAUUCUACCUACCUUACAGGGCUACUUCUAGGAAAGUGUUUUGUAAAUUCCAAAGUGCUACAACCAUAGGAUCUAUCAUCAUUAUAAUUAACAUACUAGCUUAACAUAAGGGCAGGGAUUUUAUCUGGAGGGUUUGAUUAAUAGAGCAAUAAUCAACAACAUAAUCAGAAGGGUUGCUUCUGGAAAGAGCACUAUUUGGCAUCAGGAAGACCUAAAUUCAAAUUUGACCGCUAGACAUAUGACCCUGGGCAAGUCAUCUAAUUUCUACUUCUUCAAAUUCCUCAGCUGCAAAGUACCACUAAUAACAACUCCUACCUCCCAGAGUCAUUGUAAGGAUCAAACGAGAUAUUUGUAAAGCAUUUAGCAUAGUACUGGGCACCUAGCAGGUACUUAAUAAAUGUUUGCUCCAUAUUUUUCCCUAAUUCUCUACAUUCUUGAGAACUGCAAGACAUUUGAAUUAAUUUUCUCUCUAGGCUACAUUCCUAAUUCUCCAGAUCUUUAUUAUGCCACAGAAAUCUCUUCCUCAUAGAAGCUCAUUUUACUCCUGGACUUCUCAUAUUGAAAGUAUCCUCCAGCCUUAUUAUCUCUUCCUCUGAUUGACUGAUUCCUCCCUGAACCUCCAUUUUAAGAAAGACACCCAGACUGUUAAGGACUAUGCCUACGUGAAUUGUAAGGGACAGGUCAAUUCUCCAAGAGCCUCCACAGCUGUGAACAUCUGAAGGAGUUGCAAAGCAGCUUUUACUGAUGCAGGUGUUGUUUGUGGACUGGGAAAAUAAAUUGGAGGCUGAGGGAAGAGGAGAGAGGUCAGACAACACAAGGGCCUCUCAAUGGGGAGGUCAGAGAACAGCAACUGCCUCUCAGUCUCCUUGAAUCACCAUCAUCCUCUCACAAGAGAAGAAAAGGUCUACCAGAGGUAAAGCAAAGUUACAUAUUGUGUUCCCAACAAUACACUAUCCUUUGUUCCCCUGCUUUGCUUAUAGUAUCGUCUUUUAUGUCUAAAUCAUGAAUGCAUUUCAAUCUUAUCUUGAUAUAGGGUGUUAGAUAUUCGUCAAUGCCUACUUUCUAAUGUAUUAUUUUCCAGUUUUUCUAGCAAUUUUUGUCAAAUAGUGAGUUCUUAUCUCAGAAGUUAGAGUCUUUGGGUUUAUCAAACAAUAGAUUAUUAUAGUCAUUUACUAUAGUCUUGUGAACAUAAUCUAUUACAGUGAUCCACUACUUUAUUUCUUUGCCAGUACCAAAUGGUUUUGAUGACCACUGUUUUAUAAUGUAGUUUUAGGUCUAGUCUAGCUAGACCAUCUUCCUUCACAUUUUUUUUUCAUUAAUUCCCUUGAAGUUUUUGACUUUAGUUCUUCCGGAUGAAUUUUGUUAUUUUUUUCUUGCUCCAUAAAGUAAUUUUUUGGCAAUUUGAUGGAUAUGGCACUGAAUAAGUAGAUUAAUUUAGGCAGAAUUGUCAUUUUUAUUAUGUUAGUUCGACCUAUCCAAGAGGACUUGAUAUUCUUCCAGCUGUUUAGAUCUAACUUUAUUUAUGUGAAAAGCAUUUUGUAAUUGUGUUUAUAUAGUUCCUGACUUUGUCUUGGCAGGUAGACUCCCAAAUAUUUUAUAUUAGCUACAGUUAUUUUAAAUGGAAUUUCUCUUUCUAUCUCUUACUGCUGGACUUUGUUGAUAACAUAUAGAAAUACCAAUCAUUUAUGUGGAUUUAUUUCAUAUCCUGAAACUUUGCUUAUAUUAUUAAUUGCUUCUAGUAGUUUUUUAGUUGAUUCUAUAGGAUUUUCUAAAUAUGCUAUCUUAUCAUCUGCAAAGAGUGAUAGUUUUGUUUCCUCAUUACCUACUCUAAUUCCUUCAAUUUGCUUUUCUUCUCUUAUUGCUAAAGCUAGGAUUUCUAGUAUGAUAUUGAAUAAUAAUGAUGAUAAUGGACAGCCUUGUUUUACUCCUAAUCUUAUUUGGAACACUUCUAGCUUAUGCCCAUUACAUAUAAUGUUUGCUGAUAGCUUUAAAUAGAUGCUACUUAUCAUUUUAGGAAUGUGUGUUGUGUUUUGUCAAAUGCUUUUUCUGCACCUAUUGAAAUAAUCAUAUGAUUUCUGUUAUUUUGAUUACUGAUAUAGUCAAUUAUGCAGAUAUUGAACUAGCCUUGAAUUCCUGGUUUAAAUUCCACUCGGUCAGAGUAUAUUAUCCUGAUGAAAAGUUGCUGUAAUCUCUUUACUAAUAUUUUAUUUAAGAUUUUUGCAUCAAAAUUUGUCAGGGAAAUUGGUCUCUCAAAAAUUGGUAAUUUUUUUCCUCUGUUUUGGCUCUUUUAGUUUAGGUAUCAGCACCAUAUCUGUGUCUUAAAAUUUGUUUUGUACAAGUACUUCUUCUUAUAUUUUUCCAAGUAGUUAAUUCCAAUAUUAAUUGGAAUUCAUUGUUUUUUAAAUGUUUGGUCGAGUUUUCUUGUAAAUAUAUCUGACCAUGUAAAAUUUUUCUUAGGAAGUUCAUUAAUAGUUUGUUCAAUUUCUUUUACUAAAAAGGGACUAUUUAAAUAUUUAUUUCCUCAUCUAUUAAUUUGAGAAAUAUACAUUUUGCAACUAUUCACCCAUUUCACUUAGAUUGUCAGAUUUAUUGGAAUACAAUUGGGCACAAUAGCUAUCAUUUUUUUUUUCUUGUAGAAGCUAAGAUUUUUCUUUUAUUUUAAAACCUUUUUAUUUUCAAAACAUAUACAUAGACAGUUUUCAACAUUCACCCUUGGGAAAUCUUGUGUUCCAAAUCUUUUUCUCCCUCCCUUCCCCUCACUUUCUCCUCUAAAUGGCAAGCAAUCCAAUAUAUGUGCAACUCUUCUACACAUGUUACCACAACUAUCAUGCUGCACAAGAAAAAUCAGAUCAAAAAGGAAAACAAUAAGAAAGAAAACAAAAUGCAAGCAAACAACAACAAAAAGAGUGAAAAUACUAUGUUGUGAGCCAUACUAAGUUUUCACAGUUUUGUCUUUGGGUACAGAUGGCUCUCGCCAGUUCCAAUGGCUUAAAUCACCUUGCUGUUGAAAAGAACCACAUCCAUCAGAAUUGACCAUCUUAUAAACUUGUUGAAUAGCUCCUAAUUAUUGUUUUAAUUUCCUCUUCAUUACCUCAUUCAUUAGGUAACAAGUAAUCCAAUAUAUAUUAAACAUGAGCAAUUCUUCUAGACAUAUUUCCAUAUUCAUCAUACUGCACAAGAAAAAUCAGAUCAAAAAGGAAAAAAUGAGGAAGAAAACAAAAAAUCAGCAAACAACAACAAAAAGGUGAAAAUACUAUGUUGUGAUCCACAUUCAGUCCUAACAAUCCUCUUUCUGAAUGCAGAUGGCUCUCUCCAUCACAAGUAUAUUGGAACUGGCCUGAAUCAUCUCUUAUUGAAAACAGUCAAGUCCAUCAGAGUUGAUCACCACAUAAUCUUAUUGUUGCUGUGUACAAUGUUCUUUUGGUUCUAUUCACUUCACUUAACAUUAGUUCAUAUAAGUAUCUCCAGCUUAAGGAAAAUUAUUGCACUCUGAAUAUUUGGAGUCACUUCAAAAACUGUUUAGAGGCUGAAUCUACUGUUAAUUCUGAGGGAAGCUGGAAAGAAUUCAGGCAAUAUCCUGAGUACCCUCCACUAUCUUAGUUCUACCCCUGCUUUUUAAUUGUUUAAAGUUUUUGUUUUAUUAUAAACUCAACAACUAUGAACAAAGAUAAAUAAUUUUAAAAUGCAACAUGAUCAAAACAAUAUUUCACAAAACCCUUAACAUUUGACAGAGUAGAACCAAAUAGAAUCAGAAACCAAUAUAUAUUUCUUUCCCUUUCCCAUUCAUCAGAUGUUUUGCUGCCUUUGAACUUGUUCUCUGUUUUUCUGGGAUGAUGGAAGGUUAUGGUUAAAUAAAGAAAUUUUAGCAUUAUGGAUGGUAGAGGUGCAAUUCUUAGGGAUGGUGAUGACCAUAAAGAUACACUUAUCCUCUUGUAUUUAGGUAGAGUUGAAAGAUGGAUGAAAUGGGUAGCAAGGAUGUUUGAAGAAACAAAGAUAUGCAAUGGGGAUAUAGCCAGCAGCUAAUCAAGAGACUUUUUUCUUCACUACUAAGUAAUCAGACAGGAAAGUCACAAAAUUUAUGUGUUCUGAAGUGGAAAGCCUCUUCAUUUAUACAUCAUCAAUGAUUCUAGAAGCAGGUUUCCCAAAAAUCCUCAUGGAAAGGCAAUAGGGAGAGAUGUCUGUAGCAUACUUUAAGAACUGGAUUCUUAUUGUCCAAAUUUCUGCUCUCCUAUUUUCAGACAGAUAAACUGAAUUUAUUGUGAUGACUGGAUUUCUUGAGAAAAAGAGAAUGACUUGGGGGAUAGUGAGUAGAUCAUGGAAUAAAGAUUUGCAUAGGGUAACAUGUUGAAUGGAGUGAAUCUUAAAAGAGGAGAAAUUUCUGAGUAAUAGCAAUAAGAUUGUGAUAAUAGUGAUCAUAGUAUGAUGGAAGGAAAAGAGUGAUGAAAGAAAGUAUGUGAAAAAUACACACAAAUAAGCUGAGGUGUAUACAACAAGAGGCUUUGGAAUUUUUGAAAAUCAAUUCUAGGCUGAGACCCUGCAGCUCUCAUUAAGGAUUCAUUUCUUUAAUUGUAAGUGUCUCAUACUAUUAUAAAAUUUAGAAAUCUCUCACCCUUGGAAAAACACUUUUCUGCUCAGUCUUAUGGAAAAUACUUUUAUGGAAGAAGCCAGCAUUACUAGACUGGCAUUCCUUUUAGAAACUUUUGUUUUGAAAGUGAAAUGUAGAAUACUAAUGUGACCUUUUUGUUUUCUUUGUCUCAAGUGUUCAUUUUUACAAUAAAAUGGAUUGCAAGAAAAAUACAAGUGGAUAAAGAAAACUCUGCUAACUUAGUGGUAUCAUGCAAAAAUAAAUAGAUUAAUACUCACUCUAAGUGUCCAGUGAUGUCUCUAGGCUUUUCAGAUAAAUCUAUAAUAUAUCAACAAAUCAAACCACAAAUAACACAUUCUCCUUUUUUUAAAAAAUAGGACAUGCAUUUUAUAGUUCAGCAAUCUCAAUCUGUUUUAUAUCAUUCAUUUUGUUAAAGUCUUAUAUGUAAAAGUGAAUAUUAUGAGUAUUGCAAUCCUGAUACUAGAGUAGGAAAAAUGUGUAUCAUAUUGGUCUAAAUAUAGGCUAUUUUCCCCUCAAAUCUAACUUUUGUGAAAUCUAAAGCUGUUUAAUAAUUAUAAAUAUGAUGUUGGCAUUGGAUUCAUUGGAGCAUAUCCCAAGAGUAUGUCCAGUUUCUAUGAGAAAGAAUAAGUCUUUAUAAUCUAAAAGACAAAAGCAUCCCAGUACUAUGCAUACAAACUCAAAUGUUUUUGAGAAUUUAAAAAGAAAACCCACAAAAUUGAAUUGGAAGUAGUGUAGGUGGCACAAUAGAUGGAAUAAGAAAGACCAGAGUUCAAAUAAACAUCAGAUACCUACUUGCUGUAAGAUCCUGAGCAAGUCAAUUAACUUCUCUUUGCCUCAGUUUCCUCACCUGUAAAAAGGGCAAUUAUAAUAGCACCUAUUUCCCAGGCUUGUGAGAAUCAAAUGAUAUAAUAAUUGUAAAAUUCUUUGCACAAUUUCUGGCAAUAAUAAGUACAUCAUUAUUAUCAUAGAUCAGCCUAUUACUCAUAAUCACCUAGAUGCAACAGUGACUAACAAAAUCUUGAGGACAAUAUUUUUAAUAGAUGUUGCCAAACCAAAAACUUAUAAGCUCCAAACUAUAUGUAAUGAAAAGAUAUCAAAACAUAGAGAAUCUAGUGAAGAAAUUAGAACCAUGUGGAGACAAGAACAAAUACUUAUCAUUUCCAACAUCCAAUCUACCACCAGAGUGUUUCUGAAGAUGUUUUCAUCAAGUCACCAGAAUGUGACUGUGAAUCCCAAUAUUUUCAUUCAUGUACAAAAGUCAAUUAUUUUAUUCAUCUGCAUGAUAACUCAUAGAAUAUUCAAUGUAAAAGAAUUAUACCAAGAUUGUGACAUCCUAGAACUAUUGCUAAGAGCCAUUAAACAGAUAAGAACAAAAUGGUAAUAAUAAUGAUUAUGACUAACAUUUAUAUUACCAAUCCAAUAACAAGUCAAUAGGUACUUAUUAAUUACCUAGUAUGUGCUUAGCAACAUAAUAAUCAUUAGAGUUAGAAAGGCAAAAAUAGUCCCUGCCCUCAAUGAGUUCAAAGUUUAGUGAGGGAGAUAGGACAUGCAUAACUAUGCAUGCAUAACUAUGUAUCACUGGGUGGAGGGUGCAAGGGGUAGGGUGGGGAAGUUUUCAUAUGUAAUAUGCAUAAAAGAUAGAACUAAGUAUGAUAGAUCAAAUUCUAAUCAAGUAUUAGCAAAUUAAAACGCAUCCUUUAGAACCCUUCUCCCAGAAAAUAAUAUACAAAAUGACUACUAUGUAAGUGGAAAGAAUACACACACACACACACACACGUUCAGAAAGGUAAAUAUAGCAAAAUCAAGUGUGACUCAAAUGAAAAGGUAUGUGAAGAUACAUCCAAUUCACUUUUUUGUGAUAAGAAGUCCAUAGGUGUUGCACGUUGCAUAUAUUUUCAAACUUUUUCACUUGAUUACUUCUACUGAUUUUUCCUUUUCUUUUUCUUUUGUCUUAAAAAUUACCAUUUGUUAUAUGGAGUGGUUUGGUAGGGAUGCUGGAGAAAAAUAUUAUGAUACAAAAGUGUCCAUAAAAAUUUAUUUUAAAAGGACAAAAUUUUGUCUAGCUUUGCCUUUUCUUCCUUUCAUAUGUCAUGUCUUUCUUUCAUAGACAAAUCCCUAGAAAGUUCCAUUCACACUCUCUUAUUCCAUUUCCUUAUAUUUCAUUCACUUUGAAACCUUGUAGAGUUUGGCUUCCAACACAAGGAAUUGACAAGAUUACCAGUGAUCCCUUAACUAUUAUAAUAAAUUCAGUGGCUUUUUUUUUUUUUUUUUUUUUUUUAAGACCUCAUCUUGAUCUUCCUGGAGAUUUUGACACAAUUCACUAAAUUAUUUUCUUAGGUACUCUCUGGUUUGCCAUUGGCUUUGUGGCCUGCUCUCUCCUGGUUCUCAUGUUUUCCCAUUUGAUGACUUUUCAGUCUCUUUUUUGCCAUCCUUCACCAACUAAGAGUGGUUAUCAACCAAAGCUGUAUCCUGGACCCUUUUCUCUUCUCUCACUAUGCUUUUUCACCUUUGUGAUCUUUUCAUCUUUUUAGAUUUGAUCAUCAUUUCUUUGUGAUCAAUGCCAAAUUAUAUACCAACUAUCUGAUAGCAUUUCCACCUGGAUAUUCCAUUGGUAUCUCAAACUGACCAUGUUCAAAAUGGAAUUUUAUUUCCCUCUUCCUGAGACUUUUCUAUUUCUGUUAAAGGCACUUCCAACCUUUCAGUCACAUUGGGAUUACAACCUUGGCAUCAUCCUUUACAUUGUCCUGUCCCUAACUUUUAAUAUACAAUUAAUUGCCUAAUAUUGUUAAUUCUUCCCCUGCCCUAAAACAUUUCUCAAGGCCACCUCUCCAUUCAUGCAAUCACCUUCCCAAUUCAGAUCAUCCUCACUAAAUAGAAUAUUAGCUUUCCAAUUUAUUUCUUUAUUUCUAAUUUUUCAUCUUUCUAAUCUAUUUUAUACAUAGUUUCCAGAUUAAUUUUCCCAAGAAGAAGUGUGACUAUGGUCUGGUUUAUAAUAAAAAAUCCUCAAUGAGAAUUUAUCUUAUCUCUAGAAUGAUAUAUAAAAUCUUUUAUCAUCUCUAGAAUAGUGUGCAAAAUCCUCACUUUUCAUUUAAAUCCUUUCACAAUCUGGUUCCCACCUACCCUGCCAGCUAUAAUUUACAUACAUUCAUUAAUGGUUCAACCAAAUUAACUUAAUAGAUGUACCCUGAUCUCAAUAAUUGGUAUUACAUCUUCCAUCUCUUUACCUCUGCACAGACUAUUCUCUCAUGCUUGUGAACACUCAUUCUCCCAGUCCUAGAGCAUUUUUUUGACAAACAGCUUUGUAACAUUGAGUGUCACAUUUACAGAGGGAGAUAUGACUCUUGAUUGACUGGAAAGCCUACUGAAUGGAUCAGUAUAUUGAUUGGUGAGAGACUAUUGAACUCCCCCAAAAUGCGUAUAUGUGGGAGAGAUUGAGGGAUAAGGUACUAGAGGAGAGUAAAACAGAAGCACACAUCUAUGUAUGUGUGUAUGCGAAUUUCUGUGUGUAUUCAUGAUGUAUAUGUGUAUGUACACACAUAAGGAAGCCAGUUUCUAACACAUUCCUUAACGUGCAGAGCCUGCAACUGUGUUGUUUUUGUCGUUAUUGUCCUUCAGUUAUUUAGUUGUGCAUGAUUCUUUGUGUCUCUAGAUGGUUGGGGAUUUGCGUUUGUUUUUUGGCAAAGAUAUUUGAAGGGUUUGACAUUUCCAUUUCUUUUUCUAAUCUCCAAUUCUAGAGAUUGCUAAUUUAUCCUGUUUAAGGUUUGUUUGUACAUAGUUAUUUGCAUAUUGUUUUCCCCAUUAGACCCGCAAGUUCCUUGAGAUCAGAAACCAGUUUCUCACCUUUCUUUAUAUCUCCAGUGCUUAGCAUCCAGUAUGUACUUAAUAAUUAACUGUCUGACUUAAGGCAGUCUUUCUUGGUAAGGUUAUUGUCUUCUUGAUUGAGCUGAGAUUUUAUCUUCCAAAUGAAGAAUUUUUCUGCUCUUAUAUAUUCUUUUUCCUAUUCUGAUGUGUAUAACUCCCCCAAUUUCUGUUUAUUGUUUGCUUGGAUAAAUGGGUUUAUUUGCUGUUUGAUCCUGAGGUUGCUUUUGCACCAAGAAUUUGGUAGCAGCCAAAAUGGCUAUUAUCUCUCCUAUUCUCUGGGAAUGAUCAGGAAAAGUUGUUUUUUAAUCUUAACUUCCCCUUAUUCCCCAUCCCCCACCCCCAUCCAAAAAAAGAGAAUUAAAAACCUAGAGUAUUUGAAGUGUGGAAGAUCAAUAUAAUUUUGCUUAAUAUUCUAAUUGGAAAUAGAGUAUCAAAGGAGUAAUCACCAUCCUUCCUCUCCCCUACUAGGCUACUAGUGCUAGAGGCAAGGAAGGUCUGCUCCUACUUUCCACAAAGGUGAAAAUUGCAAUCUCCCUUUGAAGCUUUAGAAUGGAGUUCACCAGAUUCCAGAGCAGAUUGCUAUCUAUUUUACUUAAGCCAGCCAUUUUAUAUUUCAUGAUCC
ensembl:lncRNA